UCCUCGAUGGUCUAACGGUCAUGAUUUCCGCUUGUCAUCUCGCUAGAGAACAAGCGCGGGAGACCUGGGUUCGACUCCCAGUCGGGGAG
rnacentral:tRNA from 1 species